UCUCAAUUCACUCCUCCUCUGUUUCUGUUUAGGAAAGGGCGGGUCUCCCAUGAGUAUCAACAAAACAUGGCAUAUCAAGUUGCAGUAAGACUAAGCACCUCCCCUUGUAUUAAGGCUGGGCAAGGUGACCCAGUAUGAGGAGUAGAAACCCAAAAGCCAGUAAAAGAGACAUCCUCUGCUCCCACUGUUAGGAGUCCCACAAGAGGACCGUGCCUUACAUAUAACACAUGUGUAACAGCUAACAUAUAUGCAGAGUGCCUAGAUGCAAAUUGCUUUUUAAAGAUGUGUUUUAUUUAUAUUUAUUUAUGUAAGUGUGUAUGUGCGCAUAUGAAUGUGGGUGUCUGCAGCCACCCUGAAGCCAGAGUUUUUCUUCUUGCAUAUGACAAUGUCAUUUGAGUACAACAUCACUGUUACAGAUGCCAGAACAGUGAGAGAAAGGAGAAAGUGGCCAGGAUGAGACUCUAAGAGGAGAAAAAUGAGAAGCCAUUUGGGUACCCUAGUUCUCAGUGCCUUUUGCUCACCUUUGGACUGGUGAUUCCCAAAUACUGCAAUCACAUGAAGAAUUUAUGGAGAGUUCACAUGCCUGCACUCUGCCCCAGUACUCGAUCACAAUCGAUGGAGGCUGCUGCCAGAAGAUGGGUUCCAGAUUUAAGGUGGAUCUUUCUGCCUCAAAAGAUACAGAUUUAGCAUGGCUCUUCCCACUUCAAAUGAUUCAAUCAAGCAAAAGCCCUCACAGACCUUCCAGUGACCCACAAUUGCCGCUCCAUUCAGAUAAACCUGCCCUGAGCUCCAGAGGUCUCUUAAUUCCUCUGCCUGUCCCCUUACUAAAGGGCCUGACCUCUCACUGCUCCCUCUGGACCCUGCUUCUCUUGACGUCACAGCAGUUCCUACGGCUCCACUUCCUCGUGUCUAGAAGCUUUUGGAUCUCAGCAGUCUUCUCCAGAGUUUACUGUUCUCCCCACAGCCUCUCAUGCUGGUCUUUACAGUGCGUAUUCAUUGUCCGUGUUGGCACUCCUACUAGGUAGUCAUUCAUAUUAGAGGAGAAAU